rnacentral:rRNA from 1 species
GAUGAACGCUGGCGGCGUGCCUAAUACAUGCAAGUAGAACGCUGAAGCUUGGUGCUUGCCCCGAGCGGAUGAGUUGCGAACGGGUGAGUAACGCGUAGGUAACCUGCCUCUUAGCGGGGGAUAACUAUUGGAAACGAUAGCUAAUACCGCAUAAAAGUCGAUAUCGCAUGAUAUUGAUUUGAAAGGUGCAAAUGCAUCACUAAGAGAUGGACCUGCGUUGUAUUAGCUAGUUGGUGAGGUAACGGCUCACCAAGGCGACGAUACAUAGCCGACCUGAGAGGGUGAUCGGCCACACUGGGACAGAGACACGGCCCAGACUCCUACGGGAGGCAGCAGUAGGGAAUCUUCGGCAAUGGGGGCAACCCUGACCGAGCAACGCCGAGUGAGUGAAGAAGGUUGUCGGAUCGGAAAGCUCUGUUGUAAGAGAAGAACGAGUGUGAGAGUGGAAAGUUCACACUGUGACGGUAACUUACCAGAAAGGGACGGCUAACUACGUG